rnacentral:lncRNA from 1 species
UUCCAUUGUUGUUCUUGACCUGUCACGUAAUUUUCUGCCGUAAGUUUCUGUCUCUGUCGAGGUUAUUUCCGUUAUUUCCGUUAUUUCCGUUAUUUCCGUUGUUGUUCUUGAUCUGUCACCAAAUUGUCUGACGUAUGUUUCUGUAUCUCUAAAGGUUAUUUUCGUUUUUACCGUUAUUAUUUCCGUUCUUUCCGUUAUUUUCGUUAUUUCCGUUAUUUCCAUUGUUGUUCUUGACCUGUCACCUAAUUUUCUGCCGUAUGUUUCUGUCUUUCGGAGGUUAUUUCCGUUAUUUCUGUUAUUUCCGUUAUUAUUUCCCUUAUUUCCACUCUUAUUUCCGGUCUUAUAUGUUUCUUUCCGUUUCUUUCCGUUCUUUCAAUUAUUUCCGUUAUUUCUGUUAUUUCCGUUAUUUUCGUUAUUUCCGUUAUUUCCGAUAUUUCCCUUAUUUCCGUUGUUGUUCUUGACCUG